GGCCUCGUGGCCUAAUGGACAAGGCGACAGACUUCUAAUCUGUAGAUUGCGGGUUCGAGUCCCGCCGUGGUUU